rnacentral:tRNA from 3 species
GCCCAUGUAGCUCAGUUGGUAGAGCACACCCUUGGUAAGGGUGAGGUCAUCGGUUCGACUCCGAUCAUGGGCUCCA